GGUAAAGCAAGUGCUGGCAAAACCAUCAUUAGCGCAUCUGGCUGCAACCCGUGAACGAUCCCAGUGGCAAAAGUAGCAAAACCAAUCUUCUUUUUUCCGACUGCUGGGUUUUCAAGUGUCUCGUAAACACUAACAUCACACUCACCAUUUUCUAAGGCAACACAUGGGGUAGGAACCUCUGAAGCUUCUCUUAUACCCAUUGCCCCAAUAACAAGCAACGUUAAGCCCACCACUCUUGUACCCCAAGUCCGGAUGAUUUCAAUGUGAAGGCGAUCCUUUAGAAGUAAAAAUAGUAAUCCAAAGAUAACCUGACCAGCAUCAUGACCACAACCCCAUAGAGCUCCAACAACAGCACUUUCCAUUCGAGUGCGGCC
rnacentral:lncRNA from 1 species